rfam:Vitis vinifera, whole genome shotgun sequence of line PN40024, unoriented chromosome 12, chr12
ACCUAUUUAACUUAGUGGUUAGAGUAUUUCCUUCAUACGGUAAGAGUCAUUAGUUCAAAUCCAAUAGUAGGUA